CUCGGUGCACUUGAGUAGAGUUCCUCAGGGAGCUUUGCAGAUGCUGUGAAGAGGUGAAGCCCAAAUGAUACAGACUCAGACAUGGAUGCAGCAAUGCCAGAACACCUGAAGCACGCUCCAGGAAGUACCGGGGGUUGUGGAUAUAAAAAAUUAGCCAUAAACAACUUUCACAAACUCUAAAAACAUUUACACCUGUGUUAACCAUUAUCCAGUAUUUGUGUUGUUUACUUGUUUGAUUUAUGACUGUUUAACAAUAAUGCAAGACUGUUUGGGG